ensembl:lncRNA
CUAACCACCACAUCCACGGCAGCGAUCCCUUAAGUGGUGGUGAUAUUAUUAUUUUAUUAUUGCCAGCCAGUGGCUUUAAAGGUGCAUUAUUUUAAUGCAUUAUUAAUUGUUUUCCCAGGGAGAGAAGGAAACUGGGGAUAGGGCUUAUUAUUAUUAAUAGCGAGGAGAUCACUCGCUCCUUUCGCGCACGACGAGGAGAGCGGUGGGAGGAGGCAGCGCCGGAGGGAGGCGGCAGCGGAGCGCACCCCGCUCUCAGGCUCGUUGCGCGGCCGCGGGAACCACCCGCGGGGGCCCGGCGCAGCCCUCGCCUCUCCCUCCCUGUGCCCCCACCCUCGCCCUGUUGCCCUAGCCUUCGGGCGGAAAGUUCCGCGGGCAGCGGCCAACCUCGUGCCUGCCCAAAGCAGCCCCUCGGCAUCCCCCCCAGCUCCAGCCCCAGCCCCAGUCAUAGCUCCGCGCGGGCGGCGUGUCUCCGCGGGCGCCGAAGUUGCGGCAGGGCCGGGGGGCCUCUGCGACUGCCAGCCAUCAAGUGGCUCGUUAAGGAAAUGCAGCUCCUUCGGGGCCUGUGUGGACUAGGGGCACAACCCGGCGCCUGACUGGCAGGAGGGAAAGCGGAGACUCCUUCAGGUUUCCAAAGAGGUCCGAGUGGACUGCAUUAGAAAUUAAUGUGACAUGAGCAGAAAUGCCUAACAUCAGCAAUGGGAGAAGGACAGCGUUCAGAGUUGCUUUCAGUGAAGUCCUGUGGGAAUGAGAACUAGUAAAUUCUGAAACGAGGCAUUUAAACAGUUGUAUAGGUGUCUAUUCAUUGUUACUGGGAAGAAAAGUCCCAUCUUUCAAGCGUGACAGAUGUGUACAGACAUUAAUGAAACAGAAACUAAAGUGUUAAUUGGAUUAUAUUUCCCUGAAAUGCAUAAUACAUCUCUUUAAAUCCCUAAAGCCCUUUACUUUUCUGUAGAGGCACAACUCAGUUACAAUUUUCAGUUGUAAAAGGAAAAACAGGAGCGAUUGGAGUGCCAAAUUGGUCAGUUUUAUGAAGCAAACAUGCUUACUAGAGAACAGCAUGGAACUGCAAAGCUGUUCAACUGCUUCUAACAACUAUCAGUUUAUGCCUCCCAUCAGCAAAGAUUUCACAGAGAAAGGAGUGGAAAGGAAACUAGAGGGAAAAAUACUCUUCAACAAACCCCUUCAGCCAAGGAAUCAGGUCUUUGUCUCAUCUCUUCUACAACACAAUUCCAGAAGUGCUUCCUUGCUAACCCCCUUGCAGAAAUCGUAAAGUAUAGUGAACUCCUGAUUGAUUAUAAAUACGAACAUUAACAUGAUUGGUGUAUUUCAGUAGCUAUAAGCAAAUUGUAUCUGCAAAACUACACUGAAAAAAGAUAUUUCUCUCAUUCAUAUUAUUAGUAGAUUAAUGGAAAAGAACACAUUUUUCUUCAAAAUGUUAAAUGGAGUGUUACUUCAACUACGUACCUGAUUUAGAUAAACUCUUGUUAUUAUUAUUAUAUACAUUCAGAACAAUUAAUGUAAAUAAUAGUGUCAUUAUUUGAAUGUUAAGAUUAGUGAAAUUACAGAGGAAAUUUUCUGUAAAUCCAGUGAUGCAUGUUGUGGACUGAAACUAUUCUAGUCUUUGUAUUAUUUUAAUUAACAAUAAAUUAACAUUAUAUUCUCAUGACUUUUGC